rnacentral:rRNA from 1 species
GACGAACGCUGGCGGCGUGCUUAACACAUGCAAGUCGAGCGGAAAGGCCCUUCGGGGUACUCGAGCGGCGAACGGGUGAGUAACACGUGAGUAACCUGCCCCAGACUUUGGGAUAACCCUCGGAAACGGGGGCUAAUACUGGAUACGACACAGCUUCGCAUGGGGUCUGUGUGGAAAGUUUUUCGGUUGGGGAUGGGCUCGCGGCCUAUCAGCUUGUUGGUGGGGUGGUGGCCUACCAAGGCGACGACGGGUAGCCGGCCGGGGAGGGGGACCGGCCACACUGGGACUGAGACACGGCCCAGACUCCUACGGGAGGCAGCAGUGGGGAAUAUUGCACAAUGGGCGGAAGCCUGAUGCAGCGACGCCGCGUGAGGGAUGACGGCCUUCGGGUUGUAAACCUCUUUCAGCAGGGACGAAGCGUAAGUGACGGUACCUGCAGAAGAAGCGCCGGCUAACUACGUG